ACGGGUUUCCACCUUUUGAAAUUUACGGACAUAGCCCUGAAACGUUUCUUUGCUGUGCCCUGCUGUUUUCAUGCUGGAAACGUUUCAGAAAUGGGGAAACUCCAUCCAUAGCCGUUUCCAUGCUUUGCAGGUGGUCAUUUAUAGAAUUAGAGAUUUGGGUUUGUAUAUAAUUUCUUAUCCCUACUCUCUUUAUUUUUUAUAUAAUUUCUGGUUUAUCAUUCAUCAUGGAUUGCAAGGUCAAGAGAAUGUGACUUGGAUUGUGGAUUGCUCCAAUCUCCAAUUGGAGUUAGAA
rnacentral:misc_RNA from 1 species